ACUCCAACCAAUUCCAGUACCACCUAUCACCACCAUCUUCGCACUCUCCAUCUCGUCCACCUCCUCGGCAGUGGGUGGCUUCUCCGAACUCCAACCUUAUCCCUCCUCUUCCUAUCCUCCCCCACCACCUGCACAUCCUUAUCCUUCUCAUGUUCCUCCUCCACCCCACCAGUUCCCUCCUCCUCGUCCUCACUUGCCUGCUCCUCCUUCCCAUUCUCAGAUUCCCCAAUCUUACGCUCAGGUUAAUCAGGAAUGGCGAAAUUCGAACUGGGAAAGCACCAAAGCUGGGACUACCAAGCUCACAACAAUGCGGAGGAAUGGGCUGCUAGAGCCAGAGCAUGGGCAGCACAAAAAGCUGCAAUGGAGGAUCACCAUCCUCAGUCCCAAUUUACAAAAGUUGCCAGAACUGAAGAACAGAACCAGUUUCUGCAAAAUGUUGAUUCUCAUUAUCAAGAUUUUCAGCAACAGCCAUUUCCUGCAUCAGGCUAUCAACAGUUUCCAGUUUCAGCUGCACCUUUGCACCAGCAACCAAUAGCUUAUUCGCAGGAGAAUGCAUCUUUCAACUCUGGGGAAUCUUCUAAUGUUCAUGAAGGGCAUAUACCUUAGACUGUUGGUGGUGGAACUUCAGCUGGAGCACCAACUACAAGUCCAUCUGUUCUUCAGCAGUAUGUACCUUCUAGUUAUUCUACUGUUACAGGUAAUAAUUCAUUUAGAAUAUUGUACUUGCAUGUGAAACAUGUAUUCAAGAACUACUCCUAAGUAGGAAACUUUUCUGCUGUUCUUUUCCUUAGGGUGGCACCAUUUGUGGUUUAUUUUGCUGUUUUAAUGUUUUUUUCAAUUACACUUUCUCUUUUAUUGAUUUGGAUAUUAGUUACCAGUUUCUUUAACUCAUGUGGCAUUGACAUAUGAAAAUUAUUUUCCUGAAAGUCCCAUUGAAUCAUGUUUACAUUUAGUCAAUUGAUAAUUUCAGUUUGGCUAUUUUGUUUCUCUCUGGUACUACUUUCUCUCUGUUUACAAUGAUAGCGGUGAAUUGAAUGACAGAAUGAGGAAACCUGUGUUUACUUAUUGGAAUUAUUAGUAAUGCUCCUGAGCUCUAAGCUUAAGAUAAUAUCAUUUUAGGACAAUGAAAACUUUUCUUGUUUAAUUCUUGCUACAUGGAAGUAUAAUAUAGUUGAAAAGCAUGUGUUGGAAUGAAUGGGAAAUUGGGAUUAAACCUGACGCGAUGCUAGACUUCCUAUUUUGGACAAUGCAACAGCUGAAAUCUUAGUUUGGAUAUUUUCCUUUUCUAAUUAGGACUUAUUUAUUGUUUCCUUUUCUAUUUAGAACUUAGUUUAUUUUCCUAUUCUAA
rnacentral:misc_RNA from 1 species